UGCCAGCCGCCGCGGUAAUACGGAGGGUGCAAGCGUUAUCCGGAAUCAUUGGGUUUAAAGGGUUCGCAGGCGGAAUUAUCAGUCAGUGGUGAAAGCCUACAGCUUAACUGUAGAACUGCCAUUGAUACUGUAAUUCUUGAAUGUGGUCGAAGUGGGCGGAAUAUGACAUGUAGCGGUGAAAUGCAUAGAUAUGUCAUAGAACACCGAUAGCGAAGGCAGCUCACUAGGCCAUGAUUGACGCUCAUGAACGAAAGCGUGGGGAGCAAACAGGAUUAGAUA
rnacentral:rRNA from 1 species